rnacentral:lncRNA from 1 species
GGGAGUUACUUUAUUUAGGAUGAUUAGAGAUGACUUCUGAGGAGACAUCUGAGUAGAGACCUGAAUCAAGUGAGAAGCAAAUUAUGAGAAUAUCUGGGAGUAAGAACAUUCCAGGGCAGGGGUACAGAAAAUGCAAAGGUCUUGAGGAGGAAUGAGCUUGGUGUGUUUGAGGAACACCAAGAAAGCCAGUAAGACUGGAAGGGACAGAGUGGUAGCAGGGAGACCAGCUAGGAGGCUGGCAGCAGCUCAGGCAAUAGGGGAGGGUGGCUUAUGCUAAGGUAGAGGUGAUGAAAGUGGCUGAAUUGGGUACUUAUUUUGAAGAUAGAGCUGACAGGUUUUGCUAAUGAUGGUGGGCAUGGGUGAAAGAGGAAUCAAGUAUGACUCUUAGAUUUUUGGACUGAACAACUGAAUGAAUGGUUGUGCUAUUUAUUAAGAUGGGGAAGACCAAGGAGAACAGCAGGUUUAGGAGGAAAAUCAAGAGAUCUCCUUUGGAUGUUAAGUUCGAGGUGGCUGGUAGACAUUAUAUUCCUUAUUUUCCAAAAUUUCUGAAGAGGCUGAGAAAAUGUUAGAAAUUGGGGGAGACAAGUUUCCCUUAGAGAGCAGGAAGUUACUAAGUAGUCCUGGAAAGAACAUCAGUUGCAGAUGUGACCCCUCUGAGAUUAAUAUAUCUGAUGAAAUGCCUAAAACUACAGUUUGGAAAGCUCUCAGUAUGAAUUCUGGAAAUGCAAAGGAAAAGAGGUAAAGAGAACUGUAACAUCUGAUUUUUAUUUAUUUCUGGCUUUUGACAAUGGCG